GGAAAAUCCCACUUAUUAGGACGUCGUCACAUGCGAGUUUACACAGUGCAUUUACGCGGAGCUCAAAUGAUUUGUGAUUUACGGAGUGGUUUUAAGUGUUAUUUCUGUUUUGUUGGAUAUAAAUGGAGUUGGAGAUAGAGGAGCUCGAAAGUAUAAUUUCUGAGCAGAACACCAUUAUGUACGCCUGCACAAUCUCAAGUACUGUCAUCCGAUGACGACAAUGACCAGGUAGAAGGUGGAUGUAGCGCCGUCAUGGAAAACCGCAUUGGGUCCUUCAUUUCUGGGCAGCCUGCGGAAUCAAGCAGUGACUUCACUGACGAUGAUGGAAGUGAUGACGUUGAUGCGUUUUCGCAGGAUGAUAGCAUUUGACGUUUCCACGAAUCUCGCUGUGGAUGUGCUAAGAAAUCCACGAUAAAUUUGAUGCCUCCCAAAUCAGAACGCACAUCCUUGAUACGCGGGAAUAGACGAGGGAAGAAAAGGAAAUGUAUAUUAAAGGCUGUUUGUCCGAAGGCCCCACAAAUGACUCUACAAAGCGUAGGAAAAAGAGAGUGAAUUAGUGGCAAAAACACAUUUCGCGGUAAGGAAAUAUUUGCAAAUACGUUCAGAUUGUUAUUUGACAUAAGACGCUGUGCAUUAAAAUCAAUAAGGCAAUCAUUGAACAAGACCGGUCCGGACUCACGCCGGCAUGGAAAUACAGGAAGUAAACCAAAACAUGCUCUGGUCUUCACAAAUGUCGAGCGUGUGUUCCAAUUCAUCUACAACUAUGCGGAAUAAUUCGGAAUUCCCCAACCUGCAGCUCCGCGUGGGAGAGACGAUACGGCAUCGAUAUACCUACACAGCGGUACAACGAAAAUGAACAUUCAUAAGCUGUACAAAGCAAACUGUCAAGAGGCUGGCGUGCGCAUCGUCGAAGAAAGCUCAUUUCAGUCAAUAUGGAGUGCCUGCAUCCCACAUAUAAAGGUCGCAUCCCCUAGAGACGAUGUGUGCGCCACCUGUGAGAAGCUGCGAAAAAAAAUAUGGAUUCGGUAUCGGAGGAGGACAAACUAGCUUCCACUGAAGAAAUGCAUAGUCAUAUUGUUUUUGACACAAACAGAAAUAGACCUUAACAACAGUCUCAUUAAAAAAGCAAAAGAAAUGUCACAUCCAACUGAACGAUCAAACCACUUCACAUUUGAUUUCGCGCAAAGUGUAGGCAUACCGCACCAUGCACGACAGAUGGGGCCAUUCUAUUUCGCAUCUUUAAGAAAAGUCCAAAUUUUUGGAAUGAGAAUUGAUGGACAAUCACGUCAAUUGAAUUUUCCCAUCGACGAAAAUGAGAGCAUCGGUGCAGAUGGAACUAAUGCUCAAGGACCAAACGCUGUCAUCUCGAUAAUAGACUACGUGCUCAAAACCCAUGGAUGCGCAGAUCUCUCGUGCACAAUAGAAGCCGUUAAUUGUCCGAGUCAAAACAAAAAACAGUUUGUGCUAAGCACUGCUUGGGUACUUCGCAUGGCGAGUCCUGACACGGCGCCACACUUCAAUCGAAUAUAUGAUGCAGGUUCCGGGUCAUUCACGAUGUUUGGUAGAUAGUGGGCUCGCCGAUUUAAAAAAAGCUACACAGAUAAGAAACAAAACAUUAAUAGUUUUACAAGUUUUAUUUGCAACAUAAAUAUACAAGAUGAUAAUAAGUAGUAUUAUUGAUGAUAUCAUAAUAAAUUACACGCCCGGUAAAUGGUAUCAUUACAUGUAAGUCCUUAAAACAUGGCAUACAUGGUUUGUUUUACUUAUGUUAUUGAAUAUGCGCUUCAGACGCCCGGACUGUGACGCCAUUCAGCAGCUAGAGGAUAUUGUCAACAAGUCGUCUAGUGCAACAGAGGCUGUGCGAUAUCCGACCUGGCGCUGGCGUGACUGGAAGACUUUCUUGUCUACAUCUUUUAAAGCAAUACCCGUGAUAAGGAAGUACCAGUACUCCAGAUUCGACUCAUCGAGGCCCGGCACGGUUUUCGCAACGGAGAAAGCAACGGACCUACCCGAGGAAGAGUUUUUCAUCACGAAACACAGGGAACUCCCCUCAGCAGAACCAUGCUUAAUUAAUCAGGCAGGGCUAUCAGAGAAUCGCGUGAAAUAUCUUACAAAACUGUCAGACCAUUUGUGCGACCGUGUUAUCAGGACAUUACCUGUCCAACACCCACAGACUGAUUGCAUGUGAUUACAUCAUGUAUUCGAACAUCAACCUAAACAGUUAUUUUAAUCCAUGCGCGUGUAAAUGAAGAGUUUUCCAACAAGUUGUUUUAAUAUUUGAAUAAGUGUUUGAUAUUGCGAACUUUUAACAUGCUGUUAACGUCAUGAAUAUGUCAUUCCGAUUGAAAAUGACGCGACGUCAACAGCUUUGUUGAGUGACAGGUUGCGUAUAUAAUGUUGUCAUAGCAACGCUAAAUAGUGGCGUACACAUGUAAUUUAUACAUCAUUGGAUUCGUGGAUGAACGUACAAUAUAGAAACUGAAAAAAAACCCACUAAACAUUGAUUUAUUUUGUCAUUAAUACAGGUUUUGUCGUGGAACGGCUCAUAUAUAUUUAUCAUUUUUCGUUGUUCAAGAAAGUGUUUAACCUUCUGUACAUGGUAUAAAUGCGUCGGAAAGAUUGGAAACGAUGGAAUGAUUCGUCAGAGUUCUUCUCGUACAGUAAGAGUAACGUUCGUACCAACAUACUUAAGAACUCUUUCGUUAUGUACACAUUUUAUUAUAUUAGCACACAAAAUUGAAUAUACUUAACACAAGAUCCAUGGAUA